UGCUCGUUUUACCAUUUUCCGUCCGAUGUUACCCAGCGGAGACUCUGGGUUCGUGCCGUAAGACGAGCUGACCGGAAGCCCAGUGUCCAUUCUCACAUCUGCAGCUGUCAUUUUCCUGCAGG